GAUGAACGCUGGCGGCGUGCCUAAUACAUGCAAGUCGAGCGAACAGACGAGGAGCUUGCUCCUCUGACGUUAGCGGCGGACGGGUGAGUAACACGUGGAUAACCUACCUAUAAGACUGGGAUAACUUCGGGAAACCGGAGCUAAUACCGGAUAAUAUAUUGAACCGCAUGGUUCAAUAGUGAAAGACGGUUUUGCUGUCACUUAUAGAUGGAUCCGCGCCGCAUUAGCUAGUUGGUAAGGUAACGGCUUACCAAGGCAACGAUGCGUAGCCGACCUGAGAGGGUGAUCGGCCACACUGGAACUGAGACACGGUCCAGACUCCUACGGGAGGCAGCAGUAGGGAAUCUUCCGCAGUGGGCGAAAGCCUGACGGAGCAACGCCGCGUGAGUGAUGAAGGUCUUCGGAUCGUAAAACUCUGUUAUUGGGGAAGAACAAAUGUGUAAGUAACUAUGCACGUCUUGACGGUACCUAAUCAGAAAGCCACGGCUAACUACGU
rnacentral:rRNA from 1 species